GUUGCUCGUACACGUGUUUUGAAAACAUUUCGAUCUUCUCGGCGUUUAUCCAAUUAGCGUGUGUCAUGCAUGUAGUCAUAUUUUUUCGCAUUGCUCGGGAUUUAUCAUAACAUACAUUGAAUUAAAACGAAAGUGAAUGUCCGUUUAUAAAAAUGUUGAAUAGAAGCAUGUUUUCUGCUUCUUUUGAAAAGCUGAGGGAAAGUUAUGAUAACAAGACACAGCCAGUGUUUUCAGGAAGCGUACAUCGAAGACACGGGCGUGUGUGCGUACCUUAACGAAUUGCUAAUAAAAACAGGGUUUC
rnacentral:lncRNA from 1 species